rnacentral:lncRNA from 1 species
UAAUGACUUGAAAUCUCCAAAGCCUGGAGUUUCCCCCUUUCUUUCUCAAGUCUUUUCUGCUCUCUUUCACAGACAUGUGUCCUGGGCUUUCUCCUCAUUUUUCUCAUCGGUUCAAGUCUAGGUAAUGAUCAAUGCUCUGUCCAGAGGAUUCCUUCAAUGUCUAGAGGUUGUAUGAACAGUGAUGGAUCUGAGUUUAGAACUGGUGCCUCUUGGAUCCAGAAUGGUUUACGCUGUAGGUGUUUUGGAGAUAAAAUUUGGUGCUGCAGGGUCAGAUAAUACCUUCUUUUGAACUCAUAGAAUAUUUAUCUGAAUCAGUUGCUUGCAUCCUCUAGAAGACUGAUGCUCAACUGACUGCUAGACUACUUCUAUGGAGCCCUACUUGCUGCUUGACCAGCUGUCAUCAAUAUGCUUCUCAUUCUCCAAAGGACACUUGUAGAGUUCACAGGGGCCACUUCUGUGCUUUCUCACUGAUGAUAUUAAAGAGCCCGUAGUGUAACUUUUGCUGUAACUGGUGGAAUUCAAUAAAUGACAGUUCCACAUUGAAAGUGUUGAAGCG